CAUAUCUUUAAUGUUACUUAUAUUUCUGUGAAAAAUAUUUUUAGUACUUACCAGAAUUGUUUGCACUAUAAUGGAUUAUUUUUUUCCAUUUAAAAACACUAAAACACUCUGUUUGUCUCAUUUGCAGUGCAAUUUGGAAAAUGCAGGAAGGAUAUUGCAACGUUCUCACAUAUGUCCCGUACUCAUUUUCCUGCAGAGUAUUGGAAAUCUGUUUCAAAAUCUGUUGCUUUGGCUGACCUUUGGGAAGGCUCCAUUGGUGUGUUCUGGUUAACAGGAUACAGCACUGAAAGCAGUAGUACACUGAAGAGCACUAAGAGACUGAAGCAUGCCAUGGUACAGGAGGAACCGGAUAUCUUGGUGCCACUAACUCAAAGAUCAUAA
rnacentral:lncRNA from 1 species